rnacentral:rRNA from 1 species
UACGGAGGGUGCAAACGUUGCUCGGAAUUAUUGGGCGUAAAGCGCACGUAGGCGGUUUGUUAAGUCGGGUGUGAAAGCCCAGGGCUCAACCCUGGAAGUGCACUCGAAACUGGCGAACUUGAAUAUGGAAGAGGGUCGCGGAAUUCCCGGUGUAGAGGUGAAAUUCGUAGAUAUCGGGAGGAACACCAGUGGCGAAAGCGGCGACCUGGGCCAAUAUUGACGCUGAGGUGCGAAAGCGUGGGGAGCAAACAGG